UUUUUUUUUGCAUUUCUUGUCUCUUCUUCUCUAGCAAUCUCUCGUCUCCUCCUCUCUCACUAUCUCUUCAAUCCUCAUCUCACGAUCUCUCAAACUUGCUGUCUGUCGUCACGGAUUUAAGCUCACCACCUCUGCUCAAGUCUGGAAACCAUGACCCCUCGCCUCCUCCCCUUGAUCUGGAAUAAUGAUGACAUAAAGGAGGUAAUGAUGAUCCAGAGACAGAGGCGGCGGCCGACGUACAAAGAGGUGAAGACGGCGGGGAGUUACGAAGACGACGGGCGGCGAUGCACAAAAAGAGGCCUACGAAGUCAUAAUGGAAGAGGAAGGGUAAGCUAGCUGUAGUGAUGGAGGUAGAUUCAAGCAAGAAGAGAAGAGAGGCGGGCAAGAGAAGAAGAAGAAGAGAGGCGGAGAAAGA